CCCCUAGAUGUCCUGGGCCGCACGCGCAAUACAAUGUAACGUUCAGAAAGCAUAUCCUGUUCCGGAAGGCAAUGGGUAAUCUUUUCAAUAUUUUACGUGUUAGGGAUCGAUCUUUGCAAUUAUAGAUCUUGAACGAGGAAUACCUAGUAAGUGCAGCUCAUCAGGCUGUACUGAUUACGUCCCUGCCCUUUGUACACACCGCCCGUCGCUCCUACCGAUUUCGAGUGGUCCGGUGAAUCUUUUGGAAUUAGAGUGCAAACUCAAACUAAGAUCGAUAAACCUUAUCACUUAGAGGAAGGAGAAGUCGUAACA
rnacentral:rRNA from 1 species